rnacentral:rRNA from 1 species
GAUGAACGCUGGCGGCGUGCCUAAUACAUGCAAGUCGAGCGAACGGACGAGAAGCUUGCUUCUCUGAUGUUAGCGGCGGACGGGUGAGUAACACGUGGAUAACCUACCUAUAAGACUGGGAUAACUUCGGGAAACCGGAGCUAAUACCGGAUAAUAUUUUGAACCGCAUGGUUCAAAAGUGAAAGACGGUCUUACUGUCACUUAUAGAUGGAUCCGCGCUGCAUUAGCUAGUUGGUAAGGUAACGGCUUACCAAGGCAACGAUGCAUAGCCGACCUGAGAGGGUGAUCGGCCACACUGGAACUGAGACACGGUCCAGACUCCUACGGGAGGCAGCAGUAGGGAAUCUUCCGCAAUGGGCGAAAGCCUGACGGAGCAACGCCGCGUGAGUGAUGAAGGUCUUCGGAUCGUAAAACUCUGUUAUUAGGGAAGAACAUAUGUGUAAGUAACUGUGCACAUCUUGACGGUACCUAAUCAGAAAGCCACGGCUAACUACGUGCCAGCAGCCGCGGUAAUACGUAGGUGGCAAGCGUUAUCCGGAAUUAUUGGGCGUAAAGCGCGCGUAGGCGGUUUUUUAAGUCUGAUGUGAAAGCCCACGGCUCAACCGUGGAGGGUCAUUGGAAACUGGAAAACUUGAGUGCAGAAGAGGAAAGUGGAAUUCCAUGUGUAGCGGUGAAAUGCGCAGAGAUAUGGAGGAACACCAGUGGCGAAGGCGACUUUCUGGUCUGUAACUGACGCUGAUGUGCGAAAGCGUGGGGAUCAAACAGGAUUAGAUACCCUGGUAGUCCACGCCGUAAACGAUGAGUGCUAAGUGUUAGGGGGUUUCCGCCCCUUAGUGCUGCAGCUAACGCAUUAAGCACUCCGCCUGGGGAGUACGACCGCAAGGUUGAAACUCAAAGGAAUUGACGGGGACCCGCACAAGCGGUGGAGCAUGUGGUUUAAUUCGAAGCAACGCGAAGAACCUUACCAAAUCUUGACAUCCUUUGACAACUCUAGAGAUAGAGCCUUCCCCUUCGGGGGACAAAGUGACAGGUGGUGCAUGGUUGUCGUCAGCUCGUGUCGUGAGAUGUUGGGUUAAGUCCCGCAACGAGCGCAACCCUUAAGCUUAGUUGCCAUCAUUAAGUUGGGCACUCUAAGUUGACUGCCGGUGACAAACCGGAGGAAGGUGGGGAUGACGUCAAAUCAUCAUGCCCCUUAUGAUUUGGGCUACACACGUGCUACAAUGGACAAUACAAAGGGCAGCGAAACCGCGAGGUCAAGCAAAUCCCAUAAAGUUGUUCUCAGUUCGGAUUGUAGUCUGCAACUCGACUACAUGAAGCUGGAAUCGCUAGUAAUCGUAGAUCAGCAUGCUACGGUGAAUACGUUCCCGGGUCU